CACUAUAAAAUGAGGAGCAAGUGCCAAUACUGGAGGAAGGAUUUUAUACCAAUUUUAAGCCAGCACUUAGUCAUCCGGGCCUUGGGAUCCAGCCAGCUAAAAUAGCUGAGGGGAUAGAGCAGCAUUGCACUGCAAAGUAUUAAUUGUUUGCCCUCCAAGUAUCUUGCAAGAUUUAAACCUGCUGUGAAG